CCUUCGAUAGCUCAGUUGGUAGAGCGGAGGGCUGUAGGACGUUAACUCAGGCAUCCUUAGGUGGCUGGUUCAACUCCGGAUGGAAGGA